GCUGUUUGAAAGCUUCAGCCGUUACUUUUCUCAAUUUCUCUCACAAAUCCUUCUCAUGCUCAAUUUCGAUGGGAAAAUCCUUCACAAAUCUCUCUCCAUUUGUCUGCAAAUCUCAUGCUCAAUCAAAUCUUUCUCAUGAUCUUUCCCAAUCUUCUUGCAAAUCCUUCUCAAAUCCCAUCGUCCGCCGUCUGCAUCAUUAUCACAACAAUUCACUCUCCCUCCGCCUGCAGAUCCUUAUCACAACAAUUGAUCUGCUAAUCUCUAUCCAUACAGACGGGGCCAAUGGCUGCCGCUAAUGGCUGCCCUGCGCCUAGCACCACCGCCGUCAAUGGGUGUCUCGCCGAUUUGCCUCCUCCCUUUUCCCUCCACCGCCGUCCGCCACCGCGCCGCGCUGCCCCGGCACCCUUCGCGAUCUACCACACCCGUCUCCACACCAGCUCUCAUUUCCCCCCACCACAGCCAUGGCACAGCCGCCGCCAAUGGCUGCCCUGCGCCUAACACCACCGCUGUCAAUGGGUGUCUCGCCGGACAUUACUUGGCUCCGGAACGGUUCUUGAUUAGCCCCGGGUUCCGCCCCGCCGCCGGAGACAGCUACUUUUCCAUCAGUUGAAGGUGCGUGUAGAUUUCCGUCAAUCAUCGAGUUUUGAUCAACACUGCAACGUGUUGUCACCUUUUGCGAUCUGCCGUGAUUCUUCCUUUCCAUCGAUGUACAUUGUGAGAGGAUGAAGGAAUAUGUUCAAGUUAUUUCCAGAUGCAUUUAAGGGCAUCAAGCAGAUUGGGGUGAUUGGUUGGGGCUCGCAGGGAGUACUUUAUAGUAGCACUUCAGUCACUGUGAGACAUGAGAGCUCUCAAGCUUAGCGCACAAGUUGGCCACCAUUCUGAUGAUGCACUCGGGGACUCGUAGAUGACAAGAAACAUGUGGAGUACUUCGAAUCAAUCAAACAUCUAUUUGGGAUGACUCCCCACAUCAAUAACCAGAGGAUAUUGAAGAAGAUUCUCCAUUUGAUGAUCUUCUCCCUCUUGCAAUAGGCAACAACAAAACAACAAAGGUGUUGAACAAAAGGGUGCGCCCGCUUGCUUUCACCAUUAGGAAGAAAAACAAAGCUCUAGAGACCAACACUUACUUGGACAGUAUCUAGAUUCUCUUCAUCCGCUCAUCCACUUUCAAGAUAGGGAAGAGGAAGUAUUAGUGACCUUUUAUAAAGUAUGGUAAAUGGUUUGUUUUAGGGCCCUAAUCCCUAAACCCACCAAUUUGAUUUGAUUUUGGCUGGAUAGAGAAUGAGAUGUUAGAGUUUGUUUUUGUUGAAUGCAGAAAAUAUCGGGUUUAUACAUUGUUGAAUCUCAAGAUGAAUGUGCAAUGGAAUCACAAUUUUGAAUAUAUAUAUAUAUAUAUAUAUAUAUAUAUAUAUAUAUAUAUA